CGCAUACUUUGUUAAAAUUUUUAUUUUAGCUCCCUAGUAUUCUUGGAUUUCCACUUCAGUUUUAAAAAAAGAGAAAAGAAAAUCUUAUUAGGAUAAUAUUCUUGUGCUUAAAUACCAAAAACAUCCUGCUAAAAGCUCACAUGUUUGCUGUUGGACAUGGCAAGGGCAUUAAUGUCAAUAGCGUGAGAUUGUAACAUUGAGUCUGCAGUGGUAUGUAACUACAUGGAUACAUAACAUAAACAAGGGAAUACUGACCAAUGCUAAUUUUAAGGAGUAGAUUUCAAGGAGGAGGUCUAGGAGCUAUUGACGUAAAAAUCAUGUUAUCA